rnacentral:misc_RNA from 1 species
AAGUCGUAACAAGGUUUCCGUAGGUGAACCUGCGGACGGAUCACUAACACGUAUCCAAACGUAAAAAACCCCCCCCGUGAACAUUCAAUCCUGCUUUCAGAGACCUCUGGCUACGUGAGAACAUUGGAACAGUUACAAUCGAGCGGUAGUUUCAUAGGCAUUGUUUCCCCAAGCAGUUAGUGUCUGAAAGUGUCACUGAUUGUGCAAGGAUAGCGCUUCAACGAUUCCUGUAGACCGUACACUCGGGCAGGAGCUAUGCCAAAGGGUCCCCAUGCCCCCUUAUAACCCCACAGUUUAAUGUGAAGCUCAAUGUAAUACAUUGGGUAAAAAAACCGAACAACUGUUAACAAUGGAUAUCUUGGUUCUC